UACGUAGGGUGCGAGCGUUAAUCGGAAUUACUGGGCGUAAAGCGCACGUAGGCGGCUAUCUAAGUCGGAUGUGAAAUCCCUCGGCUUAACCAAGGAAGUGCACCCGAAACUGGAUAGCUUGAGUACAGAAGAGGAUCGCGGAAUUCCCGGUGUAGAGGUGAAAUUCGUAGAUAUCGGGAGGAACACCAGUGGCGAAGGCGGCGAUCUGGGCUGAUACUGACGCUGAGGUGCGAAAGCGUGGGGAGCAAACAGG
rnacentral:rRNA from 1 species